GCCCCACUUUCCGCGGCGGCGACGCGGAGUUACUUUCUGCAGCGAAGCAGCCUCGAGGACCUUAAAGGGAAAAGGCGGACAGAAGGAGGGCGAGCGCACUUGAUUUCGACCUUUAAGGGAGGCCCAGAUGCUGCCAGGCCCCUCAGUUUACCUUGCGAAGUUACUUACGGAUCAGCAGCAUUUGGUCUUCGUCGGGUGAGGGAGAAACCUAGGCAUCAAAUAAAUUCUGUUUCACAGA
rnacentral:lncRNA from 1 species